rnacentral:rRNA from 1 species
CCUACGGGAGGCAGCAGUGAGGAAUAUUGGUCAAUGGACGCAAGUCUGAACCAGCCAUGCCGCGUGCAGGAAGACGGCUCUAUGAGUUGUAAACUGCUUUUGUACGAGGGUAAACGCAGAUACGCGUAUCUGUCUGAAAGUAUCUUACGAAUAAGGAUCGGCUAACUCCGUGCCAGCAGCCGCGGUAAUACGGAGGAUUCAAGCGUUAUCCGGAUUUAUUGGGUUUAAAGGGUGCGUAGGUGGUCGGUUAAGUUAGUGGUGAAAUCUCGAGGCUCAACGUCGGAAUUGCAUCUGAUACUGUUCGUCUAGAGAAUAGUUGCGGUAGGCGGAAUGUAUGGUGUAGCGGUGAAAUGCUUAGAGAUCAUACAGAACACCGAUUGCGAAGGCAGCUUACCAAGCUACUACUGACGUUGAGGCACGAAAGCGUGGGGAGCAAACAGGAUUAGAUACCCCUGUAGUC